rnacentral:rRNA from 1 species
GAUGAACGCUGGCGGCGUGCCUAAUACAUGCAAGUCGAGCGAACAGACGAGGAGCUUGCUCCUCUGACGUUAGCGGCGGACGGGUGAGUAACACUUGGAUAACCUACCUAUAAGACUGGGAUAACUUCGGGAAACCGGAGCUAAUCCCGGAUAAUAUAUUUACCCGCAUGUUUCAAUAGUGAAUGACGGUUUUGCUGUCACUUAUAGAUGGAUCCGCGCCGCAUUAGCUAGUUGGUAAGGUAACGGCUUACCAAGGCAACGAUGCGUAGCCGACCUGAGAGGGUGAUCGGCCACACUGGAACUGAGACACGGUCCAGACUCCUACGGGAGGCAGCAGUAGGGAAUCUUCCGCAAUGGGCGAAAGCUUGACGGAGCAACGCCGCGUGAGUGAUGAAGGUCUUCGGAUCGUAAAACUCUGUUAUUAGGGAAGAACAAAUGUGUAAGUAACUAUGCACGUCUUGACGGUACCUAAGCAGAAAGCCACGGCUAACUACGU